AGCGAACGCUGGCGGUAGGCCUAACACAUGCAAGUCGAACGGCAGCACAGUAAGAGCUUGCUCUUACGGGUGGCGAGUGGCGGACGUGAGAGGAAUACAACGUAAUCUACUUUUUCGUGUGAGAUAACGUAGGGAAACUUACUCUAAUACCGCAUACGCCCUACGGUUGAAAGCAGUGGAUCUUCGGACCUUGCGCGAUUGAAUGAGCCGAUGUCGGAUUAGCUAGUUGGCGGGGUAAAGACCAACCAUGUCGGCGAUCCGUUGCUGGACGGAGAGGAUGGUCGGCGACACUGGAACGGGAACACGGUCCAGACUCCUACGGGAGGGCGCAGUGGGGUAUGUUGGGCAAUGGGCGGGAGCCUGGUCCAGCCAUACCGAGUGGGUGAAAGAGGCCUUCGGGUUGUAAAGCCCGUUUGUUGGGAAAGAAAAGCAGUAGGUUAAGACCCCGCUGUUCUGACGGUACCCAAAGAAGAAGCACCGGCUAACUUCGUG
rnacentral:rRNA from 1 species